GACGAACGCUGGCGGCGCGCUUUACGCAUGCAAGUCGCACGGACCUUCGGGUUAGUGGCGGACGGCUGAGUAACGCGUAGGCAAUCUGCCCAGUGGUGGGGGAUAACCUGUCGAAAGGCGGGCUAAGACCGCAUGUGCUCACCGGGUGAAACUCCCGGUGUGGAAAACAGCAAUGUGCCACUGGAGGAGCCUGCGUCCUAUCAGGUAGUUGGUGGGGUAACGGCCUACCAAGCCGAUGACGGGUAGCUGGUCUGAGAGGUCGACCAGCCAGAAGGGGACUGAGACACGGCCCCUACUCCUACGGGAGGCAGCAGCGAGGAAUCUUGGGCAAUGGGCGAAAGCCUGACCCAGCGACGCCGCGUGAGGGAUGAAGGCC
rnacentral:rRNA from 1 species